AACGAACGCUGGCGGCAUGCCUAACACAUGCAAGUCGAACGAAGUGGCGCACGUGUGCGUCACGCGUGGGAAUCUGCCCUUAGGUUCGGCAUAACAGCUGGAAACGGCUGCUAAUACCGGAUGCCUGAGGAUGAGCCAGCUUUGGAUUAGGUAGUUGGUGGGGUAAAGGCCUACCAAGCCGACGUUCCAUAGCUGGUCUGAGAGGAUGAUCAGCCACACUGGGACUGAGAGACGGCCCAGAAUCCUACGGGAGGGAGCAGUUGGGAAUAGUGGACAACGGGCGAAAUCAUGAACCAGCAAUGCCGCUUGAGUGAUGAAGGCCCUAGGGUUGUAAAGCUCUUUUACCCGGGAAGCUGUACCGGGAGAAUAAGCCCCGGCUAACUCCGUGCCAGCAGCCGCGGUAAUAC
rnacentral:rRNA from 1 species